rnacentral:piRNA from 1 species
UAGAUAGUGCUGUAAAUAAGAGUAAGU